GGUCGAGCGCAGGUGGCCGGGCACCGCGCACACCCCGCACGCCCCGCGCCCCCGCCGCGGCCCGCUCACCUGCAGUCGGUGACUCUUGACUAGGUGCAUGUUGAGCGCAGGACUGUUAGGCAGGAUUUUGCCGCAGCCACGCACAGUGCACAGAAUAUUGGUGCGUACAGCCCGGGACAGCUCGCUCACAGACGGCUGGAUCAGCUCCCGGGCCGGUGGCACCGGGGCCGCGGCCCGAGCCCUGGCCGGUCGCGGUCGGCUUCCUUGAAGACGCGACUCCGACGGCCUCCACGGGCCUGAGGCGGCGGCGGCUCCCCGCGUGCUCGCCGGCAUAGCCGGGACACCCGGGGCCGGAGCCGCGGACCCAGCCGCCGCCGCCUCCGUGGCCGCCAUGGUUCCCGCACGGCCGCCAGGCCCCUCUCUCAGUGCCCGCCCCCGCCGCAGCCACUUCCGGCAGAGGGCGGGGACGCCGGGCUCAUUAGCAUCCGGCCCGGCGGCCGCUGCAGCGCCCCCAGCCGGCCGCAGCGAGCGCGUAUCGGAGGCGCAUCUAUCAGCGGAGCCAGCUGCUGGGAGAACAGGUGAACUGGAUCAGUCCCAUGGACCCAGCCAUUCUUCUUCCUAGGAACCUAGCUCAGGUUCCUCUCACUGCCUCAUGUGUGUGAAGAAGACAGCAGCUCUCAUCUACUGCUCCACUAUCACGCACGCCUGCCUGUCGCCAUCCUCCCUCUGAUGAUGGGUGUGGAUUCUAACCCUCUGUCACUGUGAGCGCCCAAUUAAAUGUGGUUGUUAUCAUU